GCCCGCCUAGCUCAAUCGGAUAGAGCGUCAGACUUUUACGAUUGCAGGCGGUAGCGACGUCAUGUGGAGUGUCGAUGACGUCAUGUCACGUGAUCUGAAGGCUGCGGGUUCGACCCCCGCGGUGGGCU